CUAAAUCUACUUUUUCUAAACAUUUAAUAUUAAAUGAAAGAGAACUAUUGCCAUUGACUCAUUUAGAAAUGAAUUUAUACAGGAUGUAUUUGAAUUAUUUUCUUAAAUAUUUUUAAAAGUCAUUGGGCUAUUUUUUUUUUUUAUUUCAGGUCUCUAGAUUGUAUAUACAAGCAUUCCUUUCUUAGGAUCAGAUAAUCAUACCAUCUUCUUGGGAGCUAUCCUCCCAGAAAAGAACUCUCUAAUGAACACUUACUAUGAGGAGUCUUCAGAAAGUUCAGAGAGAGUGGUUGUUAUGGGAUGGACAUUUGGCACAAAAGAAAUUAAAGUUGGCUGUGUAAUAUCUCCACGUACAUAAACUCCAGAAACUGCUCAUAAAAGAAAAGGAGUUUUUCAUCAUUUGGAAAGACAGACCACUUGUAUUUCUCCAACCUAAAGGAUAAAAGGAAAUCUACCAACUCCCAAAGUAUAGUCUCUGUCUUUAUUUAUAGAUUUCUGGAAAUUUUCUUAGCCAAAAUUGAAGUAAAUUAUUUUGAAAGGAAUGGAAGGUGUUGGGCCAUCAUGGAGAGCAAAUCAUCUAAUAAUCAGUUUACUGUUUCCAAAAAGCUGUUUUGGGUAAGAACUUGCCAGCUUUCCGAGAGGUUGCCUGCCUGGAUAGUACAAAGGGAUAAUUGUCAGAAGGCAAGUAUAUCGAUGUUUACCACAAAAUCUCCAGGAGAAACUUUUCCUUAUUUCUUUGUCUAAAAACAAUUCUUUAUUUUGAUACCACAUAGUUUUUAUUUCUACCACCCAGAUACACUGGUGACUCGUUUCCUUAUAUUAUUGUUAUUACACAGAUAGAGAACUUGUUUCCAUCUCAAGCUCCAAAUGCUUUGUUGUACAACUAUGUCAUAUUUCCACUGCAUGUGUCAAAAGGCCUACUGGGGGUCUAACGUGGAACUGUGUCUUUGGUUGCCACCUAAAUAAUAAUUCUUUAAAUUAAAUUGACUGUUUUGCAUGGGUAACAAUAAGAAUUUGUUUAGUUCAAUAAAAAAUGUUUGAACUGACUUUGUUUUUCUUCA
rnacentral:lncRNA from 1 species